UAAGGAGCCAGCCGCCUAAGGUGGGAUAGAUGAUUGGGGUGAAGUCGUAACAAGGUAGCCGUAUCGGAAGGUGCGGCUGGAUCACCUCCUUU
rnacentral:rRNA from 1 species